AGUGAACGCUGGCGGUAGGCCUAACACAUGCAAGUCGAACGGCAGCACAGUAAGAGCUUGCUCUUACGGGUGGCGAGUGGCGGACGGGUGAGGAAUACAUCGGAAUCUACUUUUUCGUGGGGGAUAACGUAGGGAAACUUACGCUAAUACCGCAUACGACCUACGGGUGAAAUCAGGGGAUCUUCGGACCUUGCGCGAUUGUAUGAGCCGAUGUCGGAUUAGCUAGUUGGCGGGGUCAAGGCCCACCAAGGCGACGAUCCGUAGCUGGUCUGAGAGGAUGAACAGACACACUGGAACAGAGAAACGGUCCAGACUCCUACGAGAGGCCGCAGUGCGGAAUAUUGGACAAUGGGCGCAAGCCUGAUACAGCCAUACCGCGUGGGUGCAGAAGGCGUUCGGGUUGUAAAGCCCUGUUGUUGGGAAAGAAGAACAGCAGGUUAAUACCCCGCUGUUCUGACGGUACCCAAAGAAUAAGCACCGGCUAACUUCGUG
rnacentral:rRNA from 1 species